UUGUCAAAACAGGGCACAGUAGAUGGUAGCCUGGGACUCACACAGGCUGCUGCAGAAAACCGUGCCAGCUGGUGUACAUGAAAAGACGACUGCUGCAAUAACGGCGCCUCUGCUCCUACUAAGUUUGAGGCAAAAGGCUGUCUCUGCAGCUGUUGGAACCCACGUGCUGUUAUACCUAAUGCUGAAUGUGGAGGACGGAAAAUGUUGGCUGGCAGUCGAUGGAUCAACAAGCUGCAGCAUCUCAGCAAUGUCAUGAAGUUCCAAUGAAGAACCGAGUUACAGGACUGGCCAUUGCAGAUUCAGAUGUGGAUGAGUGGGAGCGGAGGGCUGAGGAAGGUUGCUCACAGUGCACAAGCUUGAAUCCAGAAUUGAUGUGGAUCCAGAUUCUAAGACAUUUGAAGGAAAAAUGAAUUACCUCCAAAGUAGGAUCCAUCAGCGAGUUUGGUUUCUUUGCUGCCCUUGCUCAAGAUACUGACAACACCAUGCUGUAUGAAGAACAUCUUCUUUCCAACUGUUCCUUCUCUGAUGAGAUAAUCACCAGGUUGAAAGACUUCAAAUCGUAGCUUUGUAAGCAUUGAUGUCACAAAGUUGGGGUCAGCAUUGGCAAAAAGCGGCAUAGAGGCUACCAGCUUGCGGCAGUUGAAAUUGAUGAUCUCCUGCCGAAGGAAAAUACCAUGAUGUUAGA